AUGGAAGAAAGUGUCGCCAACAAUGAAGUUGACAUAUCGGUGACCAUUGAUCUUGGCAACUUCGAUCACGAAAUGGAAGAACGUGUCGCCAACAAUGAAGUUGAUUUAUCGUAUAUUCCCUCAGUGUGCGAAACAAGUGCAGAGACGACCAUUGAAUCCGAGAGCAACUCCAUUCUAACCACUGAGCGGAGGUUCAUUGUACAUAAGAGAAAGUUGCUGGCGCUCUUUGCAUCGUGCCCAAAAUGCCACAAAAGUGUUCUUCCUGAGGUCUGCGUUUCUGCGACGUCAGUUAAAAUCUGGACGACAUGUUCCGAUGGCCACGUUAGAUCGUGGGAGAGCCAGCCAACGGCGGAGAAAACAUCAUUUGGAAACCUGAUGGUGGCUGGAGGAAUAUUGUUCUCUGGCCUGAGCCCAAGCACGACGUUGAGGCUCCUGACCACCAUCGGAGUAGCGACCUACUGCACGAGAACAUUCUUCCGAUACCAGACGGAUCUUCUGUUGCCUGCAGUGCAACAAGUUUGGAAUGAGGCACAAAAAGACCAUCUGGAGAAGAUUAAGCUGCCUGUUGCACUUGCCGGUGAUGGGCGCGCCGAUUCACCAGGAUUUUCGACAAAAAAUGGAAACUACACAUUGUUGGACAAGAGAACAAACAAAAUAUUGCAUGCGGAGUUGGUACAAUCAAACAAACUUGGGGGCAGUGCCCGCAUGGUGCUCGAAGGCCUUGUACUGUCCAUACGGCACGUUGAAGGAUGGGGAGUAUCCAUAUCCAUACAUUGGUCACUGACAGGCAUUCGCAGAUAAGGAAGUGCCUGAGGGAACAACAUCCAGAUAUUAAGCGUCUGUUUGACUGUGGCACGUUGCAAAAAGUUAAAUAUUAUUUCCUCACAAAGUAUGCUAUUUUAUUCUUAUAA